CCCCAGACCGUCCAUCCAGUACUAGCAGACUGUUGGCGCGCUCGAGGAGACCAGAUGGAAAAUGAUAUUCAGAACGACUUUCGGAAAUGGCGCGGAUGUCUAUAAAGCGUGGACAAAUGGUCGCGCAAGGAGGCGUCCAGUUGGUCCGAUUUGACGUCAACCAUUACCUACAAUUUCUUCUACAUUCAAGGUAGAUGCCAGAACAAAACUGACAGACUCGAUUAAUUGAGGUAAGGUGAGUGUAUCCCAAGCGGUUUGCAAUUUGUAGUAUUUGAAGACAGAUUUUUAUUUUCGAUGCAUGAUUGAUAUUAAAUUAAACAUUUUUAUCUAUAUGGCACUCUGUUACCCAGCUUUUCAUGACUUAAAGACAUUUUCCUUUCAGAGGCUUCGAUUUGUAGUUGCAAUCGCAACGACCGGGAAAAUGUUGUGUUCUGAAAAUAUAAUGUAUAUCAAUGUAACAUAUUAUUAUUAUAAACGUACUAGUUACAUUAUCUAUAUACAUGUACUUCUAGAGAAAGUAUGAUGUUAUAUCGCUAUGUGAAGUUGAGCAAGAUCAGCUUACUCUUAAAUUGUACAUGCCCAAUUCUGAG